AUACCACCCUCUACGCACUGCAGGAUCACGGAAGCUAAGCAGGGUCGGGCCUGGUUAGUACUUGGAUGGGAGCCUCUAGCCGCAGGCAGGAC
rnacentral:rRNA from 1 species